CCUACGGGUGGCAGCAGUGGGGAAUAUUGCGCAAUGGGCGAAAGCCUGACGCAGCGACGCCGCGUGAGGGAUGAAGGUCUUCGGAUCGUAAACCUCUGUCAGCAGGGAAGAACGGUCACUUUGCUAAUCAGCACUGAAUUGACGGUACCUGCAAAGGAAGCACCGGCUAACUCCGUGCCAGCAGCCGCGGUAAUACGGAGGGGGCGAGCGUUAAUCGGAAUUACUGGGCGUAAAGCGCGCGUAGGCGGUAUGUCAAGUCAAGGGUGAAAUCCCCGCGCUCAACGUGGGAACUGCCUUUGAAACUGGCAAACUGGAGUGUGGGAGAGGAGAGUGGAAUUCCUGGUGUAGGAGUGAAAUCCGUAGAUAUCUGGAGGAACAUCAGUGGCGAAGGCGACUAUCUGGAACAUAACUGACGCUGAGGAGCGAAAGCGUGGGUAGCAAACAGGAUUAGAUACCCGGGUAGUC
rnacentral:rRNA from 1 species